AGUCUGCCUGCCUGAGUUGUCACCAAGAGCUGUUUUCUGCUGCUGUUGGAUCUGGCCAUGGAGCAAACAGUAGAUGAUUCAGAUCAGACACUUCCCAGGAAGCUGGACUGGCUGAGGCUUAAACAGAGUUGUGGGAAGAGAUUUGGACAUUCAGAUUUCAAAAAACAUUGCAAACCUUUCCACUGGGAUCUCCACAAGUGGAGGCUAGAAAAAGGCAGCCAGCAAAGGCUUUGGGCAGACUGUUUUUGCUGCAAGCUGGCAGAGGAGCCCCCAGCACAGUGCACAACAGUCCUGGUUACAGCCUGCAGCCUUGUGCUCCUGCCCGCAGUCUGGAAGUACUUGACUCCAGCAGGUAAGAUGCCGACUGUGAAAGACACAGUGCUCACUCUUCCAUCCCCACAGUUUCGGCCUGAACAUAACCAGUAUCACAGAAGAGGUGUCAACUAUCAACAUACUUCCUUUUUGAGGUUAGAAAAUAUUUUAAUUCAGCUUUUCUCCCAUCUGGAAAUACCACUUCAUUUGUUAUUUUCAGUUUCUCCUGAAACGUUUUAGACUCCUGUUCUUUGGUAAACGGAUCCGUUGAAGAUGACUGUGCAGUAACCUCUGGGCUAAUGAUCCCUGGAGGGACUGUGUUGAGGGGAUUUCUGUCCCCAGAGCUGGCAGGAUUUGUUACCAGUUAGAAGGCAGCAGUGUGCUUACGGGUGGCUACAGAUAGUUCAGCCACCAGGAGGAGAUAAAGACUCACUGUUUUACAGCGCGUCCUCUUCGGACCACUUUGCUCAGUGCCUGCCAGUUGGACUGUUUGCAGCCACCUUUAAAGCAGAGUUAGAAGGGAGAUGAUAAUGCCAGACAGAAAAAUGGGCAAGUCUGGGAGGAAAAGAUUCUGGGUCACUUCUGUAGUGCCUCGUGGUACACACACAGUCUUGAUGGAGUUUCAGGACAUGGCUGAAGGAGGUGCUCACAUCCAUGAUUAAGUGAGGAAGGCGCUGCUUGUAGGAUGUCUUCUGGUCAGUUCUCAGUUAUGCUGGAGGCUGAGCAUUUGCUGUAUCAGCUUACCAAGGAAAACUGUGCAGAGCCAGGGAAGGAGGAUAACAUCAUUUUCUUAAACUCAAGCAAGCACACAGGACAGCUCUGCUAAGACAGCAAGAUGGUCAGCCAUGGAUCCAAGGCAGCUGCCCUACACCCUUCCAGGGGAAUGGUAGUUGGGAGGAGAGGAUACAAGAAGAGAGGAGCAAAGUGACAGAGAAAUGAUCUGUGCAUAACAACAUCAUUUGUGCAGUGUAGAGUCAGGUGAGUCAUUGCCUGUGAACCUAAGCAUUGUGAACCUGAGCCUAAGCAUUUCCAGCAUAGGUUGGAGCAGAUGAGGAGCUGCUCAAACUCAUGCUCUGAGUGAGAGACCACCAACCAUUCGUGAACAGGUGGAGGAACACAACUGGGAACUGGGUGAGUUCUCACAGACCUGCAAGCAGUUGUGCUCCCAGCACACAGGAGGCCAGCAAUGAGGAGAGGUAGAACAAGCCAGAUGCAGACCAUGGGCAUUGUUUGAGGAGUGAUAAUAGGAGAUGGCCUGAGCUCUUGGCAAAGGAACCCAACUCACUCAACCUCCAGAAAAGGCAGCAGCAAUGUACCUCCAGGUAGCAGGCUUUUCAAAAUGCCAGUGUUAUUUUUCAGAGUGAAAUGGAUUAAUGAUGUUUAGAAUUAGGUCGCUGACUGCCUAGGGAAAUGUACCUUAACCUUUGAUAACCCUCAUUCUGGGAAGUAAAUGUCAAUUAGGGCUUAUUUAAAGGCAACUGACCUUUUUAACCUGCACUACUGUGUGGAAGAUGCAAUUGAUCUAUGGAGAACCUGGGGAAAUGUGUUUUGUUUACCCAGAGAAAAA